rnacentral:pre_miRNA from 1 species
AAUGGGAUAGCUGGGUCAAAUGGUGCUUCCAUUCCAAGUUUUCUAGGGAAUCUCCAUACUGCUUUCCAGAGUGGUUGCACUAAUUUGCAAUCCCACCAGAAAU